rnacentral:rRNA from 1 species
GACGAACGCUGGCGGCGUGCUUAACACAUGCAAGUCGAACGGUGAAGCGCCUUCCUUUUUGGUGGGUGUGGAUGAGUGGCGAACGGGUGAGUAACACGUGAGUAACCUGCCCCCUUCUUCUGGAUAACCGCAUGAAAGUGUGGCUAAUACGGGAUAUUCUGGGUCUGUCGGAUGAUGGGUCUGGGAAAGAUAUUGUUUCGGUGGGGGAUGGGCUCGCGGCCUAUCAGCUUGUUGGUGGGGUGAUGGCCUACCAAGGCGGUGACGGGUAGCCGGCCUGAGAGGGUGGACGGUCACACUGGGACUGAGACACGGCCCAGACUCCUACGGGAGGCAGCUGUGGGGAAUAUUGCACAAUGGGCGCAAGCCUGAUGCAGCGACGCCGCGUGAGGGAUGGAGGCCUUCGGGUUGUGAACCUCUUUCGCCAGUGAAGCAGGCCUGCCUCGUUUGUGGGUGGGUUGACGGUAGCUGGAUAAGAAGCGCCGGCUAACUACGUG